GAGCUUAAUGGUAGAGCACCUGCUUGGCAUGCAGAAGGUCCCAGGUUUAAUCCUCUGCAUCUCCA